GUGGCUAUAGUUUAGCGGUAGAACAGCGGGUUGUGGUCCCGCUGGCCUGGGUUCGACUCCCAGUAGCCACCCCA
rnacentral:tRNA from 1 species